UAAUUUGGCAAAUCAGAUGUUAGCAAGAUGAGGGUUAGCUUAGGAGGUCCCACAGCACAAGGCAAGCCACUUGUGAGAUUAAGCAGUCUGAUUUGGAAUACAUUGUUUGGCUUCACAAGUCAAUACAAGGCAAAAUUAAAACAUUAAUAAUUUGAUUUUAACCAAAAUUGAUGUCUUAACCACCAUGUUUCCUUUCUAAAUGAAUUAAGAUGGUUCAAUUUGAAUGGAUCCUAAUUAAUUGAGAGAUUCAAAUAAGGUCACUUGUUGUUAGAAAUCGUUGUGAAGAGGAACUAACACAAACUUUUGAUCAAACUUUGCCCUGCAUCAUGUUUGGCCCUCGAACCCAUAUUUCACCUAAUUGAUUGGUGGAAGAGGCUUCAAUGUAUCUAUGCUAACUAUUUGGGGUUCAUCUUUUUUUCUUUUGGUAGAUCAUUCUCCUUUUUGCUUUUUUUUUUCUUUGUUCCUUUUUGGUUUUCAAGUUACAAAUCAUUUAAUCAAAGAAAUGAUAACCAAAAAAUUUUCCCACAAGUGUAAGAUUGUGCGAUUAUUCUCACAAGCCAGUUCAUACUUCCUGUCUCCACACCUGGGUCGGUCAUCUUUCAGUCGGAAAGGGUAGCUUAUAUCCGGAAUAUUCCCACAAGAAGAGUGACAGAGAUGAUGAUUCAGCUUGGCUUUGCAAGUUGUUGGGAGUAACAGAAGUAGAAAAAUGGCUGCAAAACCGGCAAAUAAGAGCCUCCUCAACAUAGCUGGAGAUGGUCUCUUUCCUCUCCGUCUCGCUCUUCUAUUAUACUAUAGAUUAAGAACAAUCAGUUCUGCUUUUCGUUAUAAAUGUUCGGUUUGGGUCCAAAAAAUGGUUUAGGUAAAGUAUCACCUCUUACCCACCGGAGAAAGUGCUAAAAAACAUUGACUGGACACAUCAACCGCCCCACAAUGUUGGCAUCUUUGCAGUCAACUAAUAGAACGGGAUUUCUCCACUUACAUUAUCUAGCUCUUCCAUACAGGAUUUCUCCACUUCCUCAGAUAAUUUGCUUGCAUCCUUUGCCUCUAAAGCAUGUAGCUUUACCCCAAAGAAAGGGCCCAUAAAAGUGGAUAAACUUUCUAAAUGGUUAUUUAUAAAAUUUUAAUAUUCUAUAAUGCUGACUUUUCAACUUUGUGACCUUUAUAGUCAGUCAGGCAAGAUAGAACCAGAACAAUUAAGUUGUGCUCUUCCAAAAAUACGUACCUUGUCAACUUUUCUGCAUAAUUCAUAGUUGAGAAAUUCAUGGUGUCAUGCUCUAUCACAUCUAAC
rnacentral:lncRNA from 1 species